rnacentral:lncRNA from 1 species
CUAAUGUGAAGUUCUGAGAAGCAAUAGAACUUUCAAGGACGAUGCAACAGGUGCUACCAUAAAUGGAUGUCCUGGUCAUGUACAAAUUUGAAGAAGAUUCAUGGAGGUGGAAGACUCUGGGUCUUGGGGCCACUUACCCAUUUUCCUCUCUGGAACUCAGUUCAGGAAACUGCUUUUCUACUGCUGAGAAAAAAAAAAAAAAAAAGAAGGAUGUAGGAACGAGAAGUAUGGUGUACAAAGGGACUGGACUGGGAUCCACAGGUCAGAAUAAAGGAGCUUGUGCAAAUGAUAUUCCCCAUAAGAAUGAUAUAAUGGACCGCUAGUCCAUAAUGACAUAUAUGAAGUAUAGCAAAUAUUUGUGGAAAAGGAAAUUAAAACAUAAGUUGCAGCAGACAUUUGGCCUGAUAGUGAAGCCACCGACUGAGAUUUUCAUAUCCCAUAUUGGAGUGUCUGGGUUCAGGUCCUGACUCCACUCCUGAUUCCAGCUUCCUGCUAGUGAGAAUUGGCAAGACAGAAGGUAAUUGCUCAAACAUUUGGUCUCCUGACACCUAUAUGAGAGACCGAGUUUAAGUCCCCAGCUCCCAUUCUGGCCUAGCCCCAGUCAUUGCAGCCAUUUGGAGAGUGAAUCAGCAGAUGAGAGCAUGCUCUCUCUACUUCCUGCUCUCUCUCUGUGUCUUUCAAAUAAGGUAAUAUAAAAAGAUAAACAAAUUUUGAAAUCCAUGAACAAUGAGGUUUUCAAAAAGCUCAUGGAAAAUGAGUAUUAUAAAAACAUUAUGCAUAGAUUUUAAUAUUUUUCAUCAAAAUAAGCUCAUCUUUUAAUCGCAUUUUCCACAAAUCUUUUAAAAUGUUGUGUGUCUCCCCAACCCUCAGAGGAAAAGACUGCAUUCAAACAAGAAAAAACUGCAUUUGCAGUGAGUCUCAGUCCUGCUCAUUAUCCCCCUCUUCUUUUUUUUUAACUUUCAUUUAACAAGUAUAAAUUUCAAAAGUAGAACUUUUGGAUUAUAGUGGCUUUUUCCCCCAUAAUCUCCCUCACACCCGCAACCAUCCCAUCUCCCAUUCCCUCUCCCAUCCUAUUCUUCAUCAAGAUUCAUUUUCAAUUAUCCUUAUAUACAGAAGAUCUACUUAGCAUUUACUAAGUAAAGAUUUCAACAGUUUGCACCCACACAGACACACAAAGUAUAGAGUACUGUUUGAGUACUAGUUUUACCGCCCCCUCUUCUUAACGUCACGUAGAAAUUUGUCUCCAUUGGGAACACUGGGUCCUCUGGAGUAAGGUCUGUGCAAGAUUGAAACUGCAUGGCAGACCGAUUUGUCCUCCUCUUU